rnacentral:lncRNA from 8 species
ACCCCGCUCCUCAGCACACUCCACUGGCUUCCAGUUGAAGCUCACCUCUGCUACAAGACCAUGGUGCUUGCCUACGGAGCUGUGAGGGGAACGGCACCUCCGUACCUUCAGGCUAUGAUCAGGCCCUACACCCAAACAAGGGCACUGCGUUCGUCCACCUCUGGCCUGCUGGCCCCCCUACCUCUGCGGAAGCACAGUUCCCGCUCAGCCCAGUCAAAACUGUUCGCUGCUCUGGCACCCCAAUGGUGGAACAAGCUCCCUCACGACGCCAGGACAGCGGAGUCAAUCACCACCUUCCGUAGACACCUGAAACCCCACCUCUUUAACCUCUAUGGGCUAGGGNNNNNNNNNNNNNNNNNNNNNNNNNNNNNNNNNAGUGCCCUCGUUUCCUGCCUGACGGGCCGAGCUCUGGAGUGGGCUAAUGCGGUCUGGAACGCUCCAGACUCGGCGAGGGACCACUACCCAGAGUUCACCCGCCGCUUUCGGGCUGUUUUCGACCACCCCCCCGAAGGUAAAGCGGCGGGUGAACGGCUGUUCCACCUCAGGCAGGAGACGAGGAGCGCUCAAGACUUCGCGCUGGAGUUUAGGACCUUGGCUGCUGGAGCGGGGUGGAAUGACAGGGCCCUCAUAGACCACUACCGGUGUAGUCUCCGGGCGGACGUCCGCAGGGAGCUGGCCUGUAGGGACACCAAUCUAUCCCUGGACGAACUCAUUGACAUGUCCAUACGGUUGGACAAUUUGCUGGCUGCCCGCGGGCGUUCGGAGAGGGUCCUGCCCGUUCCACCCCCGUGCACCCCCGCCCCUACCCCUAUGGAGGUAGGGGGGGCCGUGCCAAGGGGCACCGGAGGAGGUGGCUCCUCCUGCACCAGCUGUGGUCGGAGAGGACACACGGCCGACCGGUGCUGGAGGAGCCAGUCUGGGAGUCGAGAAGGCAGGCAGAACACUUCUCGGUCACCUCAGGUGAGUCAGCACCAGAUUCUCCCAGAACCCCCUGUUGGUCAUGUGUUUUUGCCUGUUUCAUUUUCUAAAUUUUUUCCCUCUUCCCAGCAUAAGGCGCUAGUCUAUUCAGGCGCACCUGGG